GAUGAACGCUGGCGGCGUGCCUAAUACAUGCAAGUCGAGCGAACGGACGAGAAGCUUGCUUCUCUGAUGUUAGCGGCGGACGGGUGAGUAACACGUGGAUAACCUACCUAUAAGACUGGGAUAACUUCGGGAAACCGGAGCUAAUACCAUAAUAUUUUGAACCGCAUGGUUCAAAAGUGAAAGACGGUCUUGCUGUCACUUAUAGAUGGAUCCGCGCUGCAUUAGCUAGUUGGUAAGGUAACGGCUUACCAAGGCAACGAUGCAUAGCCGACCUGAGAGGGUGAUCGGCCACACUGGAACUGAGACACGGUCCAGACUCCUACGGGAGGCAGCAGUAGGGAAUCUUCCGCAAUGGGCGAAAGCCUGACGGAGCAACGCCGCGUGAGUGAUGAAGGUCUUCGGAUCGUAAAACUCUGUUAUUAGGGAAGAACAUAUGUGUAAGUAACUGUGCACAUCUUGACGGUACCUAAUCAGAAAGCCACGGCUAACUACGUG
rnacentral:rRNA from 1 species